AGAUACUUGGAAAAUAUCUUUUUCAAAAUAAAUAAAGAAAACCCAAUUAAAUAUGGAUUUUAUCAACUCAUUUCCAUUCCCACCCCUUCUCCUUCGAAUCAAACGACCCAAUCUCACGUUAUCCGAGUGAGAGUGACUGUGUUUGAACCUUCGCGACCACCGAGCUCACCGGGCAGGGCCGAGGCCAACUCUAGUUUCUUCUCAUCGGCUGCAUUUUCAUUCUGGGUUUUCACGUCUGGUCUCCCUCUACCUUUUGAUUGCAAAGAUUCAACAUUCUUUCCCAUGGCUUCGCGUCGGUGAUUCUUUUCCCCCUUAUCCCCCGCAUUCACGCCAACUAUUUGUGGAAUUUCCCAAGAAAGUCACUCUGCAGCAAGUAGAGUAGAUUGGGCUUCUCAAUAUUUCCCUGGAUGUAUUGUAAUUUGUUGAGCUAUAAAAUAUGUAUUCUUUUGGGUUUUCUGUUUCCUACUUUUCUUCAUUCCUUUCUUUCUCCCCUACUCUGCAGGGCAUAUCGUUAUUUGAUGUCGAGCAGCAACAUGGUGCUGCAUUUUAUGUCACACCCACAGAAGAAUCUGCUGAUAAAGUUCUCAUCUCUGUUCCCAGUAACUGCAAUUUCCAGUAUCAAAACUGUGAAAGGGGCUUUCUCUUGUAGUUGUUGUGUUGGUUGUCAAUUCAACUUGGAUGGUUUUAGCAGCAAGAAGAGACAUUUGGAAAAAGUUCACUCCACCAAUUCAAAUGAGAAAUUUAGCAAUAAGCAGUUUAUUAGUGUUGAUCCACAGCUUUAUGACUAUAUUCUCUCCAAUGUUCGAGAGCCUGAGAUCUUGGGGCAGCUUCGUGAGGAGACUGCUUCAAUGCGUGGUAGCCAAAUGCAGGUAUCCCCCGAUCAAGCACAACUUCUUGCAAUGCUUGUUCAGAUUCUUGGUGCUAAGAGGUGCAUCGAAGUGGGUGUUUACACUGGAUAUUCGUCUUUGGCCGUAGCAUUAGUCCUGCCAGAAUCAGGGCGUUUAGUUGCCUGUGAAAGAGAUCUCAAAUAUCUUGAGGUUGCUAAAAGAUAUUAUGAAGUUGCCGGUGUUUCACACAAAGUGGAUGUGAGACAUGGGCUUGCAGCAGAUACACUCAAAUCACUUAUUUCAAAUGGUGAAGCUUGCAGCUAUGAUUUUGCCUUCAUCGAUGCUGAGAAGAGGAUGAAUGAGGAAUACUUCGAACUUCUACUGCAAUUGGGUUGGAGGCUUAAUUGUGAUUGACAAUGUUCUUUGGUACGGAAAAGUAGCUGACCCGAUGGUUAAUGACAAGAAAACCGAUAGCAUCAGGAGACUGAAUAAAAAGAUAAUGGAAGACAAUCGAGUUAGGAUAAGUAUGGUACCUAUUGGAGAUGGCAUCACAAUUUGCCAAAAGAGAUGAUGAUGAUGGUUGAAAUGAGUAGAAAUGAUGCUUUUGGUAGAUAGAAGUUGGUUCAAUGUUGAAAACUUGAUGACAGAAGGUGGAUCAACAAGGGUUGUUUGACUUUGGUAGGCUGCAAGUGAAAAUCGAAAAAUCAAAAAAUCGAAAAAAGAAAAAGAAAUGCUCAAAUCGACUAUGUCGGUUUGGAUUGAAGGUUGUCCGGUCUGGCAAUUUUGGUUUUGAAAUGAAGAAACCUGAAUAUUUCCGAUUCG